rnacentral:rRNA from 1 species
CCUACGGGAGGCAGCAGUGGGGGAUAUUGCACAAUGGGGGAAACCCUGAUGCAGCGACGCCGCGUGUAGGAAGACGGUCCUCUGGAUUGUAAACUACUGUUCCCAGGGACGAAGAUGACGGUACCUGGGGAGGAAGCUCCGGCUAACUACGUGCCAGCAGCCGCGGUAAUACGUGGGGAGCGAGCGUUAUCCGGAUUUAUUGGGUUUAAAGGGUGCGUAGGCGGUCCGUUAAGUCAUCGGUAAAAUUGCGGGGCUCAACCGCGUCGAGCCGUUGAAACUGGAAGACUUGAGUUGGCGAGAAGUAGGCGGAAUGCGGGGUGUAGCGGUGAAAUGCAUAGAUAUCGCGAAGAACUCCGAUUGCGAAGGCAGCGUACCGGCGCCAGACUGACGCUGAGGCACGAAGGCGCGGGGAUCGAACAGGAUUAGAUACCCUUGUAGUC